AGACAGGAUUAUGGUCAACCGAACUACUGUUAUUGUUGCCCAUCGUUUGACCACUGUGAGAAAUGCUGAUAUGAUUGCUGUCAUUCAUAGAGGAAAGAUGGUCGAAAAAGGCACGCACUCAGAACUGCUUGAGGAUCCUGAUGGAGCAUACACUCAGCUUAUACGCUUACAGGAAGUAAAUAAAGAGACAGAACAAGCACCACAGGAUUACAGCAGGUCAGAAAUUUCUAUGGAAUCAUUUAGACAGUCAAGUCAAAGAAGGUCAUUGCGCCGUUCCAUAAGUAGGGGAUCAUCAAGAAAUAGCAGCCACCACUCGCUUUCACUCUCAUUUGGUUUACCCACAGGAUUCAAUGGCCCUGAAAAUGACCUUGCAGAUGUAGAAGAUUUUCCAUCAAAAGAACAAAUUCCAGAGGUCCCCAUCCGCCGCCUUGCCUAUCUCAACAAGCCAGAACUUCCAGUUCUUAUUGUUGGCACUAUUGCUGCAAGCAUAAAUGGUACAAUACUUCCAAUUUAUGGUAUACUGAUCUCGAAAGCAAUCAAAACAUUUUUUGAACCACCUCAUGAACUGAGAAAGGAUUCAAAGUUCUGGGCACUGAUGUUUACGACCCUUGGUCUUGCGUCAUUUGUGGUACACCCAUUCAGAACAUACUUCUUUUCUGUAGCUGGGUCCAAGUUAAUACAACGGAUCAGGUCCAUGUGUUUUGAGAAGGUGGUUCACAUGGAGAUUGGUUGGUUUGAUGAGCCUGAGCACUCAAGUGGUGCAAUU
rnacentral:misc_RNA from 1 species